rnacentral:rRNA from 1 species
GACGGGGAGCACCACAACGGGUGGAGCUUGCGGUUAAUUGGAUUCAACGCCGGAAAUCUUACCGGGACCGACAGCAAUAUGAAGGCCAGGCUGAAGACUUUGCCGGAUUAGCUGAGAGGUGGUGCAUGGCCGUCGUCAGUUCGUACUGUGAAGCAUCCUGUUAAGUCAGGCAACGAGCGAGACCCACGCCCACAGUUGCCAGCGUACUCUCCGGAGUGACGGGUACACUGUGGGGACCGCCGCUGCUAAAGCGGAGGAAGGAAUGGGCAACGGUAGGUCAGUAUGCCCCGAAUAUCCCGGGCUACACGCGAGCUACAAUGGGUGGGACAAUGGGUAUCGACACCGAAAGGUGAAGGCAAUCUCCUAAACCCAUCCGUAGUUCGGAUUGUGGGCUGCAACUCGCCCACAUGAAGCUGGAAUCUGUAGUAAUCGUGUCUCAAAAUGGCACGGUGAAUAUGUCCCUGCUCCUU